AGGGAUACAGGAGGCUGGGGAGGAUUCAAUAUUCAAAAUCAAUCAAUGGGAUACAUCAACAAGAGACAGUAUAAAAACCAUAUGAUCAUUUCAAAUAGGUGCAG